rnacentral:rRNA from 1 species
CCUACGGGCUGCACCAGUAGGGAAUCUUCCACAAUGGGCGCAAGCCUGAUGGAGCAACGCCGCGUGUGUGAUGAAGGGUUUCGGCUCGUAAAACACUGUUAUAAGAGAAGAACGGCACUGAGAGUAACUGUUCAGUGUGUGACGGUAUCUUACCAGAAAGGAACGGCUAAAUACGUGCCAGCAGCCGCGGUAAUACGUAUGUUCCAAGCGUUAUCCGGACUUAUUGGGCGUAAAGCGAGCGCAGACGGUUAUUUAAGUCUGAAGUGAAAGCCCUCAGCUCAACUGAGGAAUGGCUUUGGAAACUGGAUGACUUGAGUGCAGUAGAGGAAAGUGGAAUUCCAUGUGUAGCGGUGAAAUGCGUAGAUAUAUGGAGGAACACCAGUGGCGAAGGCGACUCUCUGGUCUGUAACUGACGCUGAGGCUCGAAAGCGUGGGGAGCAAACAGGAUUAGAUACCCCGGUAGUC